UAGGGAAUAUUAGAAAUGGACGAAAGUCUGAUCUAGCGACACCGCGUGUGCGAAGAAGGCCUUCGGGUCGUAAAGCACUUUUUGGAAGGAAUAGGAAGGAAUGUACUUCCAGAAUAAGUCUCGGCUAACUACGUGCCAGCAGCCGCGGUAACACGUAGGAGGCGAACGUUAUCCGGAUUUACCGGGCGUAAAGCGCGUGUAGGUGGUACUGUAAGUAGGGCGUGAAAGCUCCUGGCUCAACUGGGAGAGGCCGUUCUAAACUACAGAACUAGAGGAUGGUAGAGGGAGGUGGAAUUCCAGGUGUAGCGGUGGAAUGCGCAGAUAUCUGGAGGAACACCGGUGGCGAAGGCGGCCUCCUGGACCAUUCCUGACACUCAGACGCGAAAGCUAGGGUAGCAAACGG
rnacentral:rRNA from 1 species